rnacentral:rRNA from 1 species
CGACGUGGUAACCUGCCUGGUAGUGGGGGGUAACUAUUGGAAACGAUAGCUAAUACCGCAUAAUAACAGUUGUUGCAUGACAACUGUUUGAAAGGUGCAAUUGCAUCACUACCAGAUGGACCUGCGUUGUAUUAGCUAGUUGGUGGGGUAACGGCUCACCAAGGCGACGAUACAUAGCCGACCUGAGAGGGUGAUCGGCCACACUGGGACUGAGACACGGCCCAG